UCAUUCUUUAUUAUUUCUGACAAAUGCUUCUUACCUGGCAACAAUUAUGACAAUUUCAAAUCAAUAUUCUUUACAGGCUUAUGCCCCUCCUCACUGCUGCCUCCCCACCCCUUUUUCUUUCUCCUCCUCCUUUGUCUUUGUCUCCAAUUCCUGGCUUAGAUCACAGGUCAAUCUGCAGAUUCAUCAAGGAUCCCAGGGAAGAGGUACCUUCAUUGUUCAGACGGUUUCAAUGAAUAACGUCUCCUGGUUGUAA
ensembl:lincRNA